AGCAGUCGCCGCGGGAAUACGUAGGGUGCAAGCGUUAAUCGGAAUUACUGGGCGUAAAGCGUGCGCAGGCGGUUAUAUAAGACAGAUGUGAAAUCCCCGGGCUCAACCUGAGAACUGCAUUUGUGACUGUAUAGCUAGAGUACGGCAGAGGGGGAUGGAAUUCCGCGUGUAGCAGUGAAAUGCGUAGAUAUGCGGAGGAACACCGAUGGCGAAGGCAAUCCCCUGGGCCUGUACUGACGCUCAUGCACGAAAGCGUGGGGAGCAAACAGGAUUAGAUACCCGUGUAGUCCCUGUCUCUUAUAC
rnacentral:rRNA from 1 species